rnacentral:rRNA from 1 species
GAUGAACGCUGGCGGCGUGCCUAAUACAUGCAAGUCGAGCGAACGGACGAGAAGCUUGCUUCUCUGAUGUUAGCGGCGGACGGGUGAGUAACACGUGGAUAACCUACCUAUAAGACUGGGAUAACUUCGGGAAACCGGAGCUAAUACCGGAUAAUAUUUUGAACCGCAUGGUUCAAAAGUGAAAGACGGUCUUGCUGUCACUUAUAGAUGGAUCCGCGCUGCAUUAGCUAGUUGGUAAGGUAACGGCUUACCAAGGCAACGAUGCAUAGCCGACCUGAGAGGGGGACCGGCCAAACUGGAACUGAGACACGGUCCAGACUCCUACGGGAGGCAGCAGUAGGGAAUCUUCCGCAAGGGGCGAAAGCCUGACGGAGCAACGCCGCGGGAGGGAUGAAGGUCUUCGGAUCGUAAAACUCUGUUAUUAGGGAAGAACAUAUGUGUAAGUAACUGGGCACAUCUUGACGGUACCUAAUCAGAAAGCCACGGCUAACUAC